UACGUAGGGUGCGAGCGUUGUCCGGAAUUAUUGGGCGUAAAGGGCUCGUAGGCGGUUUGUCGCGUCGGGAGUGAAAUCCACUGGCUUAACUGGUGGCUUGCUUUCGAUACGGGCAGACUGGAGGUAUGCAGGGGAGAACGGAAUUCCUGGUGUAGCGGUGAAAUGCGCAGAUAUCAGGAGGAACACAGGUGGCGAAGGCGGUUCUCUGGGCAUGUCCUGACGCUGAGGAGCGAAAGUGUGGGGAGCGAACAGG
rnacentral:rRNA from 1 species